AGCGAACGCUGGCGGCAGGCCUAACACAUGCAAGUCGAACGAAGUCUUCGGACUUAGUGGCGGACGGGUGAGUAACACGUGGGAACGUGCCUUUAGGUUCGGAAUAACUCAGGGAAACUUGUGCUAAUACCGAAUGUGCCCUUCGGGGGAAAGAUUUAUCGCCUUUAGAGCGGCCCGCGUCUGAUUAGCUAGUUGGUGAGGUGAAGGCUCACCAAGGCGACGAUCAGUAGCUGGUCUGAGAGGAUGAUCAGCCACAUUGGGACUGAGACACGGCCCAAACUCCUACGGGAGGCAGCAGUGGGGAAUCUUGCGCAAUGGGCGAAAGCCUGACGCAGCCAUGCCGCGUGAAUGAUGAAGGUCUUAGGAUUGUAAAAUUCUUUCACCGGGGACGAUAAUGACGGUACCCGGAGAAGAAGCCCCGGCUAACUUCGUGCCAGCAGCCGCCGUAAGAC
rnacentral:rRNA from 1 species